GUUAAUGAAUCUCUUUUGUCUGAUGACCCUGAUUCAUAUGUGACAUUGACAGUUGUCCGGUCCCUAGGAGGAAAAGGAGCUGUUCGACUUCAGUGGACCAUAGAUGAGACAGCUAAAAAUGAUCUCAGGCCUUUGAAUGGGACGCUUCUUUUUGAUGAGACAGAGUCUGAAAAGACCAUUGUGUUGCACACGCUUCAUGAUACUGUGUUGGAGGAGGACAGGCGUUUUACCAUUCAGUUGAUACCAAUUGAUGAAGUAGAAAUAUCUCCAGUGAAAGGUAGUGCAUCAAUAAUCAUUCGGGGAGAUAAGGGAACAUCAGGAGAAGUUGGGAUUGCUCCAUCAUCUAAGCAUGUCCUCAUCGGGGAACCCUCAGGAAAAUACAAUGGUACUGCUAUCAUCAGGUAUGGGCUUCAUGCUUUUUCUUUGCUUAGGUCGAGAUUUUGAACUUUUAUU